rnacentral:misc_RNA from 1 species
UAUUGUAUUGCGUUAAACGCGAUGCACAUUCCAUGAGACUUUGUUACGGUGUGUGUGUAAAGACGUAGGACCACGGCGAGGGCGACAGAGUCCCCCAGGCCAUAGAGCUACAGAGGGUGCACAGGUGUGAGUGGAUGUGUAGACAGAGCGUGCACAUGCCCCCGUUUGAGGACCAGCAACAACUCGUGUCGACAGUUCAGUAAUGAUCCUUCCGCAGGUUCACCUACGGAAA